ACCAGGAACAUGCGGAGAGAACGGGAUUACUGAAGGACGUCCGGACUGUAAGGGAAAGCCAACAGAUCAGCCUGAACCUGAUCUUGUCACUUUCUGUAUUAAAUAACACAUUAACACAGCCGGAGCAGCUCAGGUCCAGAUUAACACUGGAGAGAAAACUGAGUACACCAACAUUAUAACAAAGUAAUCCAAUGUAAAUAUUCUCAGAUAUUAUAGAAUAAUGCUGAAAACAUAAUAAAUACACACCGUGGUCAAGCACUAGAUUAUUUCUGGUGGGACUUUUGUAUGUGUUUAAUUUUACUGUUAAAAAAGGGAAAAUGUUCAGAUAAUUUCUUCAUAUUCACCUUCAUUAUGUUAGAUAAGGGUAUUGUUCUGCAUUCACUUUUUCUGUUAAUCAUUAAAAACUGCUGAUGGAUAAAUUUGCAAACUGUAUUUUGAGUGUUCAUGACAUUUUUCUCAUCUUAUGUGUCCCAUUCUUACAUAUAUCAGGUUAAGAACUGAAUGUGCUAGAAGGCUUUUGUGUAAAUAGGCUUGUGUAAGAAGUUCUUAUUUGUGACUUUUUAAAACGUUGAGCAAAAAUAAAAAGAGGAGGGGUGUUAAAUUUG